GUUUUUGUACUUUCCAUAAUAAAAGAUAAAAACAAAGGCCCGCCUGAUCUCGGAAGCCAAUCAGCAUCGGGCCUGAUUAGUACUUGGAUGGAAGACUGCCUGGGAAUACCAGGUGCUGUAAGCC
rnacentral:rRNA from 1 species